rnacentral:rRNA from 1 species
UACGUAGGGUGCAGGCGUUAAUCGGAAUUACUGGGCGUAAAGCGUGCGCAGGCGGUUUCUUAAGUCAGAUGUGAAAGCCCCGGGCUUAACCUGGGAAUUGCAUUGGAUACUGGCAGGCUAGAGUGCGGUAGAGGAUGGCGGAAUUCCCGGUGUAGCAGUGAAAUGCGUAGAGAUCGGGAGGAACAUCUGUGGCGAAGGCGGCCAUCUGGACCAGCACUGACACUGAGGCACGAAAGCGUGGGGAGCAAACAGG